CCAGUGUAAAUGAAGUAAAUAGUUUACUCUAUUAGGAUUUACAUAGUAACUAGUAUUGGCGAACAAUUGACUAUUUUCUCAGUGGAUUCCAGACCCACCACAAUAACAGAGGCUGACUAAUUUCCUUAGUCAAUAAUUAUCAUCGUAACAGAGCUCACCACAGGUAAACAUAUUUAUGAUCCAAGCUUUAAUUUUUACAGAUUGUUUGUCAAUUAUUUUCAACUUCAAGAUUAAUAUCUUGACCAUAUUGACAUACUAAUACAUACUAAAAACAAGCACACGACAGAUUGACAAUGAAAACGUUUUAUAUAUUUCAUUUAAUAUGAACUUAGGAGGAGAGGCUUUGGAUAGCAAGCAAUAUUUUUAAGACUCGUACUAUUCAUUUUUCACAGUUCACACUAUCUAAAAACAAACAAAAUAUAUCAUUGUGAAUUUGUGAUUCUUCCAAAGGUCAGAAUUGAGUGGGAAAAAAACAUAUUCUGUAAAAUCUAAAUAAGGAGCUUUUACAAGCCAUAUUCUGUAAAAUCUAAAAUCUUCAUCAGAUUGAAUUGCAAGCCAUAUCGUUAUGGGAAUCCAACCUCUUGAAGCAUAAGUCUAUUGCUACAUUGCCGGUGACAUAGCUAUAUAAGAGAGUGACAAUGCAACUACAUGUUUUUAUGUUCUCAUUUAUGCAGGUUUUUAUGUUCUCAUUCUAUGUUCUCAUUUAUGCAGGUUUUUAUGUUCUCAUUCUAUGUUCUCAUUUAUGCAUGUUUUACAUUUCCCUACAAUGUAAUAGGGCAAUGUCCACCAUCACUUUUUCACUAAUGAAAUAUU
rnacentral:lncRNA from 1 species